ACAUGAAGCUGGACCAGCAAAUGGCUCUGCUGAAGGUUCUGCUGCUGCUGCUGCUGCUGGGGCUUUGUUUUGCAGUGAGCUCAGUGUCUCUGCAGAAGAGAGUCAUUGGAGGUGAGAACUGUAAAGACGAUGAGCGUCAGUAUCAUGUGAAAAUCCGUGCUUAUUUUCAAAUAUACAGUGAGAUUUGUGGAGGAUCUCUGAUCAGUGAUCAGUGGGUUCUGACUGCCGCUCACUGCUGGGUGUCAGACCUAGGAUGUUCUUGCUAAUACACAAGAUCUUCAGUGUGCAGACAUUAAGAUUGAUAAAUAUGAAAAGUUGGAAAAGAUACUGGCAAGAGACAAGGACUUUCAGUACAGUUACCAGAAGUGGUACAGUGUGAGAAGCUCCAAGAAGGACGUAGCUUACGGUGACUCUGGUGGAGGAUUUGUGUUCAAGAACAGGCUGUAUGGUGUUUUAGUCUUCCUAGGUGAUCCAACAUAUGCGUUCAGUGCACCAAAUGGCUUCUUGGAUGUCUGUGGCUACAAGAAGUGGAUACAUGACACAAUUAAUCCACUAAAAAUAAGCUCAGUGUGAACUGUGACUAAAUGUUCCCAGGAUCAUAAAAUUACAAAGUUCAAGUUAAUCUUUAAAUUUCAGUUUUCAGUUGAUUCAUUUUCUGAUUUACAGCUGAAUUAUUGCAGCAUUAAAGUUAUUGUGUACAAGUUGAUCUGUGAUAUCUUAUUUCUCAAUAAGUGAAGCUGCUGUUUGUAAUAAUCAGUAACAAUGUCCACUGUCACAUGACUAGACAAUAAUUGGCUGUUAUCUGAUCAGAUUGUGUCUCUUGUGCUUAUGUCUUAUUUGUGAAGAAAAUAGAUUUUAAAAUACUGAACACAUUUUGAACUUUAAAGGCAGUUAAACUCUCCAUUAAAGGGACCAAAACUAAAAAAAACCUGUGGGCUUCCAUCAAGCGUUUUAGAAAACAAUGUUGUCAUUUUUACACCAUCUGUUAUUAGAUGUAUUCUGGUGAAUUCUGACGGUUUUGAAUAAAAUAUUCCAAAUAA